UGUCCCUUUCCCUCCUUUUUUUACUUUCUUUUUUAUGGUCGUAAACUCCUCCCCACUCUCCUCCCCGCAAGAUUCUUCCCCACCUGCCGCUUGUGGGGCAGCAGCCUCAGUCCUUCCUUCUCCCAAGGUCUCACAGGGAGGAAGGAAGGGCGGAGACACUUCCCCGAAGGCCCCACUUCUCACCACAGAGCCCUUGGCCCCUGUGGACUCGAUAGCACUGAGUGCUUCCUGCCCUGGGGCCGCCUGCACAAGUCUCCUCAGCAGGCACAGGGCUAAAGAGGAAGGGGGAGCAAGCCCCGUGCUGCAGCCAUACUGCCGCCAUACUUGUCUCACCGCCAUGCUGUCCCCCCACCCCUUCGCCAGGGCCAGUAUCCCAGGCAUGGAACAGAACCUGUCCACCCCUCUCCCCAAGUCCCUCGCCAGUUCCUCACAACUUGGAGUCCCUGACCCUGUUCAUUCUCUAGCAGGGUUGCCGGUGGAGCACAGCUGGGGACUUGGUGGAGAUAAUCACCAACCAGCUCCAGUCAAUUCUGACUCGUGGCGACCCCAUGUGUGUCGGAGUAGAACUGUACUCCAUAGAGUUUUCCAUGGCUGGUUUUUCAGAAGUAGAACAUCAGGCCUUUCUUCUGAGGUGCCUCUGGGAGGUCCUGAACCUCCAACCUUUUGGCAAGGCCAUUUGGAUAAGCUCAUGAUAUUCCGCACUUUCAGCAUUUCCCAAGGCUUUGCUGUGCGAGGAACUGCAAAUAUAACCUCUUGCAUAAUCAACAGAACUUGACCUCAGAGGUUGGAAAUUAUGCAUUUUACCCAGCAGAGGAAGAAAAAUGCAGCAAUAACUAGUGAUACCAAGGUGACACUUGUAUGUAUGGUUGGUAGGUGUGUGAACUGCUUCAGCCACUUUUUUCAAAAAUAAAUGUUUUUCCUUUAUUAAAGACCGUUUACUUACAAUAAAACACAUACAUUAAGUGUGCAUUUUGAGGAGUUUUGACAAAUAAAUCUGGACUCAAUCAUGUAGAACAUUUCCAUCACCCACCAGUUGUUCCCCAUGCCACAUUCUAGUUAAUUCCCCCACAAUUGUUCACUCUAGGCAACCCCUGAUCUUUUCCCGUCACUAUAGAUUUGUCGUCGUUGUUAUUAGGUGCCCUCAAGUCAGUUCUGACUCAUAGCGACCCUUUAUACAACAGAAUGAAACAUUGACCA